CACCCAUACAUCUAAAGAAAAUGAGGAAAAAAAGAAAAUGAAGAACAAGACAGAAACCACCGCAUGCCUCUCCCACUCUCUCUCUCUUGCUCGUCUCUCCCUCCCCCCGAAACCGUCGCCGCCGCCACCUAUGCCGCUCGAUUCCGGCGUGUUCCGGCGGGCCUCGCCGGCGCGCAGCACAGAUCUGAGCUCCCCUGCCUCCGCUCUUCCCUUCCUUCCGGCCAGAUCCACCUCUCGCGGCCCUGGGAGCUCACCCCCGACCCCUUCCCAUGGCUAGGGUUUCGAGGGUGGCGUCCCCACCAACUCCAGCGCGGCAGCGGCGACUGUGCUCUGCCCUCUUCGACGCCCACCGCAAGUCCCACGGGUGGUUCCGCCUCGUGGAUGGUGCUCCUGCACCCGAUGGCUGCAGGGCAGACGCGCGCGGUGGGUAAACUCCAGCGACGCGGAACACACUUCCUCUGCUCUUCCUUGCGGGGGUGGGGGGUGGUGGGGGAUGAAGAUCAAGGAGGAUGACAAGCAGAAGAAGAAGCCGGCCAGGACGUGCGUCCAGAUCGAGGAGAUCCCCGAGGACAACACCGCCGGCUGCGACGCCAUCCGCAAGGCCUUUGCUAUGGGGAACGGCAAGGGGAAGGCCAAGGAGCUAUCGCCAUAGGAUGCUGCGCUGGUCAUCCAGAUGAACUACAAGGCGCACCUCGCCCACCGCUCCCAGGUGCUCCGCUGCCUGCGUGAUCUCGCCGUCGCCAAGGCCAAGCUCAAGGAGCUCAGGUCCCUCUUCUACAACCUCUCCUACAGGCGCCGCCUCUCGCAUGACCACGAGGAGUGCCAGAGGUUCUCCGAGAAGAUCAUUGUCCUGCUGCUCACUGUCGAUGCGCUCGAGGUGAGCUCUGUCAUGACCUGUUUACGAUUGCUGAUUGCCAUUGCCGUGUUUUGGAUUUGAAAUUCAGUUACUACAUAUAGUGGCUACCACUAUAUUAUUAGACAAAAAAAAUAAAAGCAAAGCACACCAGGAUGAUUACCAUGCUAUUUAGCUGAGCAUCCGUCCAACAUAUGUAUGCACUUGAGAUGAUCUCCAUCAUCACCUGUACCCCAUUGCCAUGGUUGUGUUGUGAAUUUGAAAUUUACUUGGUAGUUAGUAAAGUACAUUGUUGGUUUGAGGAUGGUCUAUCAGGGUUCUAUACAUAAGUAUGAUUUUCUAGCUAGUGUCUGAAGGUAUUGGUUAGCGAUGCGUCAUUAUUGAGAAAAUAAAUAAAAGCACACUACAAAGAUUAACAUGCAUGCCAGAUAUGUAGCUCAAGUAAGUUGUAACUAUUAAACAUGUGAUAUACCGAGCUAGUUACUAUUAGUAUGUCUAUUGUACUAGCCAAUAGAUGAUACGUUGGUUGUUGACAUCAUUAACAUGCAUCCAAACCAAUAUUAUUCACCUGCUGUUUUUAAUCUAUAUGCAAACUUGGACAUAUACAUCUGGUAUGUAGCACCUAGGGUAUAGUACUGUAAUCAUGUAAAACUGAAACUGAAUCUGAUGAUCUUGUGUGCAUGUGUAUACUAACAAUGUAGCCUCACACCAUUAAUAGUUAUCUGCAGCAAUUUAGAAGAAUCCAUCAAGUCAUUGAGAUGUAGAAAAAGGGCCCCUUGUGUGUUUUAAAAUGAAACUUCUGGCUGCACUUCUCUCGCUCUUGUUGAGACUCAGUGCUGCACUUGAUAUUAACUGAACAUUUUCUCUAAUUUUGUGCUGAAUAUGAAACUGCAUUGCUGACUGUGUAGUUGAUUCUGUUUUGGAGAGAUAAAAGAAAUUACUUCUAGUUAGCAUCUCACAUGAGAUGUGUUUGUGUAGUUACUCAUUAAUUCCUGCAAAAACCUGUAGUAUAUGCUCGGAAGAACAAGGUUUCGGAACCAGAUUCAUAUUUGCAGGAUAAUAAGGUGUUGUUGCAUAAGUCGAAUGGACUAACUAGCAGGCGUCGUGUUUCCUGAAGUGUUGUGACCAUGGAGGACUUAGUGCAUCGAGCACCUUGAGUCCUUACUGCGUGCAUGCCUAUCUUGAAUGCUAGUGCAGACUUCACGCCAGCGCCUUCACCUUCUCCACAAACGACCAGAGUUCCCAAGUCUGAGGAUGCGCGCACGACAGCGACACCUUUAGUUGCUGAUUUGCUUCAGAUCACGGAAGCUUGGUUUGAUGGAGUGCUUGUCUUUAGUUUUUGUUUUGACUUUGUAAAACUUGCUACCUAUGGAUGAAACUGUGUAAUAUUGAUGAAACUAUGU